UAGGGAAUCUUCGGCAAUGGACGAAAGUCUGACCGAGCAACGCCGCGUGAGUGAAGAAGGUUUUCGGAUCGUAAAACUCUGUUGUUAGAGAAGAACAAGGACGUUAGUAACUGAACGUCCUCUGACGGUAUCUAACCAGAAAGCCACGGCUAACUACGUGCCAGCAGCCGCGGUAAUACGUAGGUGGCAAGCGUUGUCCGGAUUUAUUGGGCGUAAAGCGAGCGCAGGCGGUUUCUUAAGUCUGAUGUGAAAGCCCCCGGCUCAACCGGGGAGGGUAAUUGGAAGCUGGGAGACUUGAGUGCAGAAGAGGAGAGUGGAAUUCCAUGUGUAGCGGUGAAAUGCGUAGAUAUAUGGAGGAACACCAGUGGCGAAGGCGGCUCUCUGGUCUGUAACUGACGCUGAGGCUCGAAAGCGUGGGGAGCAAACAGG
rnacentral:rRNA from 1 species